UAGAAGCAUUUGCGUCUUUUUCGUUGUGCUUUCUUCUGUGCUAUUUUAAUUUUUCGUCUUUUUUCACUCUUCAGUCCUUCCUUGAUUCUUCAACGGAAGUCUCCUUUUGUUUUCUGUUGUUUAAUAUACUUGCACAACUCAAAAUGUAUUGAGCUGUUUUUCAUUAGUUUUUGACUUGUCAUUGGCUUUUUACCUAACCAUCGCCACCGCCUCCUACAUUUUUCUACAUGCACACACGUGCGUGUAUGUGUGUGGUUGUUUGUGAAGGCUUUUGAUGAACGCCAUUAUCUUAAAACUGCAUGAUUUGUUCUUAAGCUAUGGGAUCUGAGGGCAUUUUCACGCUUUUACCUCAGUUCACCGAUUUUUUUUAUCAUAGAUGCUUGUUCUGUUUGUAUGAGCCUGAUGAUUGAGUAGCACUGUGUAUGCUCUGUGAUAUCAUCCAGUUAGAUUUUCCUUUGCCGUCUUUGUUAUUGUUCGGUGUUUUCUAUAUCUUUUGUACUUUCGUUUCUCGAUGGCUUGCAUUUUGGGAAACCCUAUUAGUUUGACGCCAAAAAUGCCAAUUAAAACCGGUUAGAUGGUUAAAUUUGAAAGGAUUUGUUAAGUAUGAAGUGGAAUGACCUAAAUUUUGAUCUAGGGUUUUCUGGUCUGAAAACACAUUUACUGUUUCAACUGGUUUAAUUGACAUGCGGCUGCCUUUUAUGCUACCCAAUGACUGAUAAAUAAUCUAUUGAACGGCUACAUGGUUUUGUUCGUAACUGGACCUGCACCAUUCUCUUUCUCUUUUUCUCUCUUUCUGUCCCUCUACGUCAGUUUGCGUGCGUUCGUGCGCUCUAUCUCUGAACUCAAUUCAUACACACACACACACACAUAUAUAUAUAUAUAUAUAUAUACAAAUUAGUUUGAGAUGGUGCAAGAAGGCUGUGAACGGAGCCUGUUAUAAAGCUGUAGAUGAUCUGUCUUUAGCUAUGAGAUCUGAGGGUUAUGCGUUCUAUUUGGCAAUACUUGUUUUUCAUUUUCUAAAGCAAAUUUUUUAUUGUUAUUAUUAGACAUGUUAGCAGGCUUACACAAUUUUUGAUUAACAUCUGAAAUGCAUUUGAAAUAAUCAGGAGAAAAGUGCCGAGGAGAUGUAUUUAUGUAAUUUCUUUUGUAAUGAAGAUCUCUUCACCCUGCUCAGUGAUAUCGAAAUGACCAGUGAGCAUUUGAUUUGUUUUGUUCAAAACUGGAUACGUGAUUUUCCUUUUGUGUAUUUGUAGAUGAUUCAUGAGAUUGUGAGAUAGCCAAACUAAUUCUUGAAUUGUAAAUUCUUGUUGUGCUGAACUGGACAAUGAAAAAUAACUUUAAAUAUAUUACAAAGAUGAUGUACGGUGUUCAAUUAAAUUAUUUUGAACUAGAAAUACAUUAAACAAUUGAAACAUAGUCUCGAAACAAAUAUGAUAUAGAUAUAUAGUGUUCAUCAUAAUAUUUUAGUUGACAAGUAAGCGUUCUUGUCUCGUAAUAAAAUAUUUUUCUUCUUUUUGGCUUUGGUUUCCCAGUCAUUCCUAUAUAUAUAUAUAUAUAUAUAUAUAUAUAUAUUAAUAUUAUAACAUUUUUUUAUAAAAUCUUAGAACAGAGAGUAUGAUUCUAAGUUACCUGAUUAUUUUUUUCAAAUAAUCAGGGGAAAGGGCUGAGGAGAUAUAAUAUCCCAUAUUGUUUCAAUUUCGAUUCAGUUCUGCUCACAACUGCCUCUGUAAACGCUGUCCAUGUGAAUGAAGCCUGUUCAGAAGUCAUAGAUGAUUUUACUUAGCUAUGCGGUCUGAGGGUUACGGACGGACUACUAAUUUCCACUUCUGCCAAACAUGAUGUUGUAAAAGAUCAACAUUACGUAUUUCAAUAUUUAAGGCAUAAGUUAUCAAUAUUGUGUUUUACAUUUGCCAUCAGUCAAACAUUUUGUUGAAUGAAUGUGUGAUAAUAUUUUAUUUUAACUGUAUUUCAUAAUCACUAGUGAUUUUAUUAAAGUAUUGUUAUAACUUGAACAAACUUAUGGCCUACAUUAUAAAUGUGCUUGAACAUGGAUAUUUUUAUCUUCAAAAAAGUAUAAAAAGCUUCCUAUUCCAUGUAAUACCAACUUUAAUUGUUUUAUAUUAAUUCAGUAGUCAUAGAAUCUUUGUUCGUUUUUAUGGUCAUACGAACAACCCAGGUCUUUUUCUUUUCUUUUUGUUCUGGAUUAGCUUUAUAACAUUCGUUAGUUUAUGAUCUAAGCCAUUCCUAUGUUUAUGAAGUCUUGCAAUAAAAUCUCUGUUCACUCUUUUUCUAUAGCAAGCUUUGCUGUAAAUCUUUUUCAUUAUCCACUAUGUUGUGUUGAGGUUAUAUAAUAGAUUGUUCACCUGUGUUGAUGUAAUCCAUCCUUGCUCACUUGUGUGUUGCCAGGAGGUUGUGGGCCAUGUCUGCAUUGCCUUGUCCUUGUAUAUUAAAGUUUGAAACUUCCUUCAGUAAUAUUAGAUCUAUUGAAGCAUUUUAUUUCUCAUUCAACUGAUUAAGUUGAUAGUGUCAUUUUAGUUUCAUUUUGUCAUGUACUUAAAUAAUUACUAGUCUCUUUAGUAUCAAUCAUAUUAUUUUCAUGAGCAAAUCUGUCUUCCUCUUUUUUUCAUUAUCAUAACCUUUGGUCGCCCAAUGACGAAUGUCCAGGUCGAUAAUUUUUGUUAUAGUUGAGUGUCAUUGUCAUAUUUCUUGUGAUCGCGCAAUGAUGAAUGCUUGCUGUGAGAUAUGGUACUUCGAAUAUUGUUCAAAGCCUUUCCAUCUUUUCUGCUUUUCUUCCCACUGCCAUCGCCUACUCUGCCACUGCUUCUCUUCUUUCUCUUCAUUCCCUUUGUUGUUGUUGUUGCUGCUGCUGUUAUUAUUAUUAUUAUUAUUAUUAUUAUUUAGUAUUAUUGCUGGCGGCAAGUAGAGAUGAUGGAGGUUGUGGGUUUUUAGUGCCAAGAAUGGAUGUUGAAAGGCUUUUAUGCAUGUUGAAAAAGUAGUACCAAUUGGAGUUAUCUGAGCGCAAUCCUACUUUUAUCUGUUAUGCAUUCUUAGUGUAAUGGGUGUGGCAUUGGUCAAAUAUUGCCCCUGAGGUUUAGAUGAUUUAUAAAUAGUUAUGAGUUCCCUUGUUCUUCUUUAUGCCUUUUUUUCCUGAACUUUUAACUGAUUUGAUUGUUCAUGUGCAUCGUGAUGUCUUGUCAGUGAUGUAUUUUUUUUUUUUCUGAAGAGCUUCACAUCUAUAUUGUGAAUCUGUUUAGACGUGGUAAAUUUUUAAAGUUAUGUUCAGUGGUCGAGUUUGAUUAGCGGCUAUGGUGAUUCUUGUGCCCUUUCAUGUUCAUUUGUAUUGAUCGAUGAAGAUAUAAAAUGAUACAGUGCUUUUAACUCAACAAUGUCCUUGUUGAAAUAAUAUGGACCGGGAAAGGUGGUUUCGUUAAUGAACUUCAGCAACAGAUCCGGUUAUCGCUUAUUGUUAGUUGUGGCUAUAGAUUAGAAUAUAGAUACUGUUAAAUCUAGGAUGCUAAAGAGAUGUUUACUUUUCAGUGUUGUAAUAUUAUUUUUAAAGAAACAGAAACAAUAGCUGGUUAACUA